AGUUUUUAUAUGCAUUUAAUAUUUUUAAAAAUAGUUCAAAAGCUGUCAAAAUAAAAUGGUGAAUUGAGUUUAAACCAGAAAAGAUAUAAACGUAAUCUUUGGGAUUCAACUUGUAAGGAUGUUCCAAGAACCACUUAGUUGGAGAAGGAAAACUGUGCCGUUCAUUAACAAGUCCUGUGCUUUAUAAUAUAUUAAAAAAUGGAAGGACGUGAAGAAAACAGGCAGGAAUGUUUGACUGGAAAUAUAAACGAUGUUGUACAUAAUGCAGAUAGCUUAGGCAAAAAAGAGAUUGGUAAAAUGGAGAAUGAGACUAACUAGGGUGAAAAAAAAUGAAUAUUAAUAUGUGAAUGGUACUUUGUUUAACAUCUACCUGUUUCUACAGAUACAGUACAGACGCAUUUAUAAAUGGGCUUGAUGUUUUUUUGAAUUAAAUAUGUUGUAUUGA